ACGUAGGUGGCAAGCGUUGUCCGGAAUUAUUGGGCGUAAAGCGCGUGCAGGCGGCUCCUUAAGUCAGAUGUGAAAGCCCAGGGCUUAACCGGGGAAGGGCAUUUGAAACUGGGGAACUUGAGUGCAGAAGAGGAGAGUGGAAUUCCAUGUGUAGCGGUGAAAUGCGUAGAUAUAUGGAGGAACACCAGUGGCGAAGGCGACUCUCUGGUCUGUAACUGACGCUGAGGCUCGAAAGCGUGGGGAGCAAACAG
rnacentral:rRNA from 1 species